rnacentral:rRNA from 1 species
GUGUCAGCAGCCGCGGUAAGACAGAGGUGGCGAGCGUUGUUCGGAUUUACUGGGCGUAAAGCGCGGGUAGGCGGUUCGGCCAGUCAGAUGUGAAAUCCCACCGCUUAACGGUGGAACGGCGUCUGAUACUACCGGACUCGAGUGCAGGAGAGGAGAGUGGAAUUUCCGGUGUAGCGGUGAAAUGCGUAGAUAUCGGAAGGAACACCAGUGGCGAAGGCGGCUCUCUGGACUGCAACUGACGCUGAGACGCGAAAGCGUGGGGAGCAAACAGGAUUAGAAACCCCCGUAGUCC